rnacentral:rRNA from 1 species
AGCGGAGGAAAAGAAACCAACAGGGAUUGCCUUAGUAACGGCGAGUGAAGCGGCAAAAGCUCAAAUUUGAAAUCUGGCACCUUCGGUGUCCGAGUUGUAAUUUGAAGAAGGUAACUUUGGAGUUGGCUCUUGUCUAUGUUCCUUGGAACAGGACGUCACAGAGGGUGAGAAUCCCGUGCGAUGAGAUGCCCAAUUCUAUGUAAAGUGCUUUCGAAGAGUCGAGUUGUUUGGGAAUGCAGCUCUAAGUGGGUGGUAAAUUCCAUCUAAAGCUAAAUAUUGGCGAGAGACCGAUAGCGAACAAGUACAGUGAUGGAAAGAUGAAAAGAACUUUGAAAAGAGAGUGAAAAAGUACGUGAAAUUGUUGAAAGGGAAGGGCUUGAGAUCAGACUUGGUAUUUUGCGAUCCUUUCCUUCUUGGUUGGGUUCCUCGCAGCUUACUGGGCCAGCAUCGGUUUGGAUGGUAGGAUAAUGACUAAGGAAUGUGGCUCUACUUCGGUGGAGUGUUAUAGCCUUGGUUGAUACUGCCUGUCUAGACCGAGGACUGCGUCUUUUGACUAGGAUGUUGGCAUAAUGAUCUUAAGCCACCCGU